CAGAAUACCAUCCUGUUCCAUCUCAAACUGCCUCAUUACAUCUAUUUGUUUCCAGUUGGUGGAAAAGGCUCACCUUCUCAUUGGGCCCCAUUUUCAGGGGUGGGUUGUAGGAACUAGAGUACUGACUAGCCUUGCUUUGCAUUACUCCAUUCAAUGGGUUUGCUGCUGGGUGUGUGGAAGAUCAGCUUCCCACUGGGUCCUGCUUACACCAGGAUGUGAAAUGCUGACUAGCCCAAGUGGUUCUAGGUUGGAGGCGUUAGCAGCAUUUUGGCUGGGGUAUAUGGGAGGCAAUAUGGAAACCAUCAAACUUGUUCUCACGUCAUUCUGCAAGUCCUGGUGUCCUGAGGUGUGCUGAAGCCCUAUCCCCAAGAUGACUAUAUUUGGAGACAGGAUUUUUGGAGGAAUAUUUCAUCUUUUGGUUUAGAAAUUCAAAGCAUUCAAGUUUAUUAAGGACACAUGCACCUGUCUGUUCAUCACAGUGCUAUUCACAAUAGCCAAAACAUGGAAACAACCUAAGUGCCCAUCAACAGUGGAUUGGAUAAAGAACAUGUGAUACAUAUACACAAAAUCAUGUCUUUUACAGCAACAUGGAUACAGCUGGAGGCCUUAACUAAUUGAAUUAAUGCAGAAACAGAAAACCCAGAUACUUUUGGUGUCACUUAUAGGUUAGAGCUAACAUGCAGUACACAUAAACAUAAAGAUGAGACAAUAGGCAUGAGGAGUACUACAGCAGAGAGAGAGGGAUGGGGCCAAGGGCUGAAGAACUACCUAUUGGGUACUAUGCUGAAUACCAGGGAAACUGAUUCAGUCAUAUCCAAAACCUCAGCACCAUGCAAUAUACCUCUGUAAUAAUCCUUCACAUGUAACCCCUGAUUCUAAAAUAAAAGUUGAAAAAACAAAUAAAAAGAAACACUUGAGUUAAGAUAAGGGGAGUUGUAGAAGCCAAGGUUCUUGUUAAGAGGAUGAAGCCUCCAAGUAGCAGGCUGCAGAGAGAGUAGUUGGUAAAUCUCUCUCUUCCG
rnacentral:lncRNA from 1 species